rnacentral:lncRNA from 1 species
AGAUGAAGCCGAUUGUAAAGGUGCCGCAGAACCAUGCCCCCAGUUACAAAAGAAAAGAAAGGAACAUAUGGAAGUCGUCAAAGAAUCUUCGUGGAAUGAUUUUAUGGCUUGGCGUCGGAGCCACCCUGGUCCGAAAACAACG